rnacentral:piRNA from 1 species
AAUUCUUGUAAAGCCUGUGGGUACCGAG